AACCAUAGAAACCUGCGGAGUACCUGCGGAGGGAUCAUUACAGAGUUGCAAAACUCCCUAAACCAUUGUGAACGUUACCUAAACCGUUGCUUCGGCGGGCGGCCCGGGUCCUUCCCGGCGCCCCUCGGCCCUCGCGGGCGCCCGCCGGAGGUAAACCAAACUAUUGCAUUGUAUGGCCUCUCUGAGUCUUCUGUACUGAAUAAGUCAAAACUUUCAGCAACGGAUCUCAGAUCGGAAGAG
rnacentral:misc_RNA from 1 species